CUGGACAGGAGGGCCUUGAUCCCACAAUUAAACCUAGUUAACAGCUAGGCACCCUAGCCAGCGGGCUUCUGUCCG
rnacentral:tRNA from 1 species